rnacentral:rRNA from 1 species
UCAUCUCCGGGGGUAGAGCACUGUUUCGGCAAGGGGGUCAUCCCGACUUACCAACCCGAUGCAAACUGCGAAUACCGGAGAAUGUUAUCACGGGAGACACACGGCGGGUGCUAACGUCCGUCGUGAAGAGGGAAACAACCCAGACCGCCAGCUAAGGUCCCAAAGUCAUGGUUAAGUGGGAAACGAUGUGGGAAGGCCCAGACAGCCAGGAUGUUGGCUUAGAAGCAGCCAUCAUUUAAAGAAAGCGUAAUAGCUCACUGGUCGAGUCGGCCUGCGCGGAAGAUGUAACGGGGCUAAACCAUGCACCGAAGCUGCGGCAGC